rnacentral:misc_RNA from 1 species
GUAUAUUAGUGCUUGCGCACAACAAUAGUUUUCGUUACAUUCGAGUAUAUGUAAAAUCCUCUGCCAGCCGAAGCUAGCAAGAGGCCAAAGGUUCACAGGGUGUGGAAUUGGAUGAAAGCCACCAACGUGCACUUGCUCUUGCGAGCCAGCACUGAAGGUGACCAUUCGCAAUCAUUAAUGAUCCUUCCGCAGGUUCACCUACGGAAA